rnacentral:piRNA from 1 species
AGCCGCCAAUGGGGUAACUUUUU